AGGCCAAGAGAUGGAUAUAGAUAGAUGGACAGGGGACUAAAAGGAAACAAUGAGACAAUAUUGUUUAAAUAGAGAAGACAGACACCAGAUGAGGGAAGGGAUGUAACAUGCCACCAGAGUGAUCAAUGUGAUGGUAGCAAAUGUCAUGUUAGUGCCACAAUUUUAGGGGGAGUGGAUUUAGUUUGUAGGGGAUGAGCUAAAUGGAAAGAAAAGGGAAGGAAAGUUGAUAAGGAGGAGGGCAGGACAGGGGAGGGGAGAAGAGGGUAAUGCGGGCAGGUCUGGAGUGAAGCAGAGGUGAAAACACAAUGAGGAGGGAGGGGAGGUGUGGAGCAAAUAGCCAAGUGACAUGGGGCAGAGAAAGUCAAUUUUGACAGGAAUGUCCAGAGGUCCCUGCUUUGACUGCUUCUGCUCCUAUCAGCUGGAGUCUCUGGCUGGCAGCUCUCUGCAGUUUUCCCCCAAGGCCACAUAGUGGUCGGGGGUGGGGAGAGUAAGGAAGAGAGCUACUGCCUAGGUCCUAAUGUCCCCAGAGUGUAUGUGUGUGUGGCAUGUCUCCUGUGCACAGUCUGGAUACAAGGGUGUGCUGAGGAGAGGGCUGGGUCCCAUUUUACCCCCUCCCCCUCCUUGGACAGCAGUCUCUGCUUUGGCAGCUUCUGGUGCUACCAGCUGGAGCCUGUACCUAUCCUGGCAGAAUGCACCUAGUGUAGACACAGCCCUGGGGGACUGUCUCUGAGAGUGUCAGUAACUGAGGUGUCAUUUCCAUUGGAGCCUUGACCUCUCUGUUGCAGUUGCCAUCAGGGGUGUCCCUGGGUGCUGAUGGUGACAGUACUGUCUGUGAACUGGACACGUAUUCACCAAGAACUGGGCUAAGAGCACCACUCCUCUCAGACAGGACACAGCUGCUAUUUGGUUGCAGUGCUGUUAACUCUUACGAUUUUCUGACAAGUGACACAAUUGGGGCUGGAGCCAGGCUCAUGAAGACACUAGAAGCUCCAGACCAAGUGCAUUUGAGUCCUCGGAGUGGCUGCCUACCCCACUUGACUGCCUCCUGGGGCCUAGCAACCAACCAGAGCUGCUACAGGAGUUCCUCCUCCCCCUCAACUCAACAAUCUGAACCAUUCUCACAGGUGAGAGCUGAAGAGCCCAGCAGCUCAGGGUGGCUCCGCCUGUCCUCCCCCCACCUCUCUGCAUCCCUGUAGUACCCGGCCUGGGGAGCAGCAGAGAGGGGUGAAGGGCACCUGGAUCUGUCUCCUUGAGCCUGGAGGGGGAUGAGGAACAGCACGAGGAGCAGAGGUGAGGUGCGCAGGGGAGGUUGUCAGGGGCAGAACUGAUCAUCAUGAUGUUCCCAUUAUGCCUCUGGUGUUUAGGGCAGCAAUGAAGCUCCUCCACUCCUGUCUGUUUCUGGAAAGUCUUUCAACGGUUCCCCAGCUGUGCCCCAGGUUUUUCAGCUCCGCUUCCACAGCUCUUUGCCAUGUUGUUUUCGGGAAGCCUCGUUUUCGCUUGCCUUCAGGUUGGCAAUACUGUGGUCACCACUGACCUAGGAUAGAUUCAACCAGUGGUAGCGAGGUGAAGAAACCUGUGGAUACGUCUACACUGCAGUGUAAGCCUGGGCUCAGACUCAAGCUUGAACCCAACCCCCCCUUCCAUCUACACACAAAUCUCUCAGACUCAGGCUCAGUCUUAGGGUCCUGUGGGGGUGAAGGGUCCGAGUGCAUAUCAAACCAGGACCCAGGGUUCAAGCUCUAUUGUUUUGCAGUCUAGACACAGCCCCUUCGACUUACAUCCUGGGAGUCUGCCAAAAAUAUCCCACAAUCCCAAGGGCCUGAUUCCUUUGUCCUCUUUAUCCCCAGAAUCUCGAAUCAACUAGAGUGAAAACAGAAGCAACCUCCUUUGGUGUACUGCAGCAGCUCAGUGAAUCAGUGUUAACUCUUUCGUUGUCUUCUGACCACUGAGCUGCAAACACACCAUCAGAGAGCCUUCUGCCUUGGCAAUGGAGACUGACUAGAACAAGCCCUUUUCAAAGCAUGCUGCUUCAUGGUAACUGGAGCACAGCCAGAUUUUGGUAAAUCUCAGGUGCGAGGCCAGCAAAACAGUGGACUUCAGUAAGAAUACCAGGAAUGAUCACGCAUACCAACAAAUAACAAUUGGCACUGCUGCAAAUUUACCACACCAGUGGCCAGUGCAGGGACCAGAUUAAGUGUCAUGAGUGAGUACAAGAAAGCCAGGGACCAGAAUUGGACCUUCGGCAACUUGCCAACAUCCUGCCUGUUUUAUGAGGAGUUUAACUGAGUGCUGGGCGCUGCGCUAAGAAUGGAACCAAUGGUGCUGCAUCAUGACCUGAUCAUCUGGAAUGGUACCCUGCUGGCUCCAGGAUCCAGCGUAGGGCAUGAUGGGAGCCAGCAGCAGGCAACAAGUGAGGUCAGCGAAGUGACUCUGUUACUGAAACUGGUUUCAAAGGAGCAGGAGCAGCAGCAGCACAUCCUGGGGCUGUACUUGGAGGAGCUGUUUGAUGCUCCCCUGAUGAACAGCCCACUGUGGAGCCUGCAGCAAACACAGUCAGAACAGAAGCCACCUGGAGACUAGCCCCGUGAUCUCUACUGGCUGCAGUACCUCCACAGCUCACCCACACUGCAGUACAAGGCUGGGCCAAUGUAGCUUCACUGACCGUUCCAAGAGGAAGCAUUUCUGUGAUAAACUUAUGGUUGAAGUUCUUGACAGGACCAACAAACGGGUCCAGUACCAAAACCAGAAGGACUUACAGCUAGAGAAAAGGCACGGCGAGAGACAAGAGGACAGCCUGAGGCUGGCUGCAUAACUUGAGGACAGGGUUUCAGCAUGGGAGCAGGCACUUCCUUUGCAGUUCCUGAAACAGGAACGGUGGCUAAGGGAGGAGGACAGAGCUCAGCAGAGAGAACUGUUUGAGUGGCUGAUAUCACUAAUGGCUGCGAGAGUACUAGCUUCUGCUGCACCCACAUCCCAGCCUGAGUGCCCGGCAUGGUACCAUCAGAUGCAGUCCAGAAACAGCUUGGCUGGGUGGACAUACAGUCGGGCCCCAUGAGUGGCUGGGCAGGCCAACUUAGCCCCAUGCAGUCCUCCAGCUUUGACUCUCUCCCCUAUGGAUGCCUCCACCUCCCUUCUUCAGUACUAAGAGAUUGGGAGACAGGGAAAGGAGAAUCAAGGCCACGACGCAUGGGGGUUUCUGUCUUGUACACAGUUUCACUGUUUGCACUUGUUCAUGUACUUUUUUGGGGGGAAAGAUUCUGUUGUUACCAGGAGAAGCGGAAGCGCCCUAAAAAUGGGGGGGGGGGGCCCACAGGAGCCCGAACCACCACAGGCACUGCACCUCCCCCUGCACUGCACCUUCCCUCCUGAGGCUCCACCCUCAUGCUGCCCCUACCCCCAAACCUCCGCUCCCAUGCCGCCCCUUCUCCUCAAGUCCCUGCGCCGCCCCUUCAUCCCUCGACUCCGCCUCCUCCUCUCUCCUCUCCGUCCCCUCCCCCCAUCACUCACCCUUACGUCUGGUAAAAAGUGGGAGGCCAGGGGGCCAUGGCCCCCCAGUUCCAGCAUCCCCGGUUGUUACUAGUAUUUUGGUGUGGUAGGUAGGCCAGCUGCCAUUAACAAUGGGUCAAUGUUGUACUUUUCUAAUACAUAUUAUAAACAAAGCUUUUUA